CCACUCUCCCCAGUGCUGGUGGUCUGGAAUAGAUAGGAUAUAUCAGGGGUGGGGGUCAGGGGGAGUGCAAAGUUUGUGGUUGACUGGGAACAGACAAAAUUAAGGCAAAUGGGCCUUAAGGUGUUGUCCUGGCUGUUCCUGGUGCCACUGAAGGAGAUCCCACUGGAUGAGAAGACAGGAGAGAGGAUGGAUCCCAGGGACAGGACUUCUGCCCUUCAGUCACCCCCAGAAGACACAGCUAGUUAGGUAUAAUUCUGCAACAAAUCCAUUACUCCAAAACAAGUCCCUGAUCCUGCCAGCGCGACUUUUAACAAUGCAAGUGUACCAAGGGAAGCCAUGGCAGAAGCUACUGGUGUUAAUAUGGGGCAACAAGCGAGAGUGGAGACCAAAUAAAAAUGAGGAUGGGGUCAAGCUCUGAAACGUGCAGUGGAGCUCUAGCCCUCCUCUUCAGUCCCAUGGCUGUUUCUGCCAAGGGCCUGGGAGAAAGCCCAUAGCAAGGUGACAAUGUGUGACAGCAGA